rnacentral:ncRNA from 1 species
GAGAGCCGGAUACGCUGGAAGAUGUACGUCCGGUUCGGAGGCGAGUAUUGGGAAACCUAUCUUGGAAAUAAGACAAGGCGCCGGGUACUUAGCCUGC